GAUGAACGCUAGCGGGAGGCCUAACACAUGCAAGCCGAGCGGUAGAGUUUCUUCGGAAACUUGAGAGCGGCGCACGGGUGCGUAACACGUGUGCAACCUACCUUUAUCUGGGGGAUAGCCAUUCGAAAGGAAGAUUAAUACCCCAUAAUAUAAUGAUUGGCAUCAAUUAUUAUUGAAAACUCCGGUGGAUAGAGAUGGGUACGCGCAAGAUUAGAUAGUUGGUGAGGUAACGGCUGACCAAGUCAAUGAUCUUUAGGGGUCCUGAGAGGGAGAUCCCCCAGACGGGUACUGGGACACGGACCAGACUCCUACGGGAGGCAGCAGUGAGGAAGAUAGGACAAUGGGUGAGAGCCCGAUCCAGCCAACCCGCGUGAAGGAUGACGGUCCUAGGGAUGGUAAACUUCUUUUGGACAGGGAUAAACCUACCCUCGUGAGGGUAGCUGAAGGUACUGUACGAAUAAGCACCGGCUAACUCCGUG
rnacentral:rRNA from 1 species